CACUUGAGUAGAUCUCUAUAAAUGCUGUCAUGCUACCUUUGUCUAUUUACUAGUAAGUGUUAGUUUGGAAGUACUGCACAUACUUCUAUUGGCUUUUAAAUUAAGCAUGGUGCUUAGGUUAAAUAGCUUUCCUUAAUCUGAUUAGACAUGGAGUCUAGUUCGGUUAUUGAACUAAAAAACUGCUUGUGUAGACAUUGGUAUAUUUUUGUCGGACUAACCCCUGCAGAGAAACUUUCAAUAUCGAUUUGGGAAGUCCUGAGGUAAACUCACAUCAGAGACGAAGAGAGUGACACAUCAAGUUUAACAAUUUGCACAAGAAGGACAUAGCUCAUUCAUCAUAGAGAGAUGAUCCAUGGAGGGUGCCACAAACACGAUGCACAACCACUAAGAAAGGAAAGCUUCCACAAGGUGAUACUACACCAUCACUCUUCAAGUAAGGUAACAUCUUAAGGUACUUGACUAUCACUUUUAUAAGCUCCUCCUUGGUUCUAGCGUUCAUAUAAAUAAAAGAGACAAACAUGUAUGAUUUACAACUCUAGAUUAACCAACCCAACGGAUUCAACAUGUUUAGUCCUUUAAUCCUUGUUCUUAGUACUACCUCCAUGAUCCCACACUCCUAAUCAUAUGAGCUAAAAUGUUACACAUUCAAUCUUUGACGGAUAUAAAGAAAAAGACAUAUACAUACAUAGAUUAUCUUUCCAUAAGGUUGAGCGAUCUGAUCUGACAAAUGUUAUAAGUGCUACACUCAUGAACUUUUCAUCCAUCAACUUUGUCUUGCUCACUAUGCUUAGGGUUAGAGAAGAACAAAUACACUUUAGGUUCUGUUGGUGUUUUCCACCAACAGGACCCAUGCACUUGAUCUCUGCCUUGUCUCUAUGAGCAGGUACACUUUGAGCAAAACACAGAGGAGUUUUAUAACUCUCAGACUCUACCAAGUGAAGGACCUGGAUCUACGAGCACAAACACACUGAGCAGGUUACUGCCAACGCCGCACUCCGAACUACUAGGCAAACGAAGAACAUGGGUGACACCGUAUCAAGAGGCGCAGACGUCAAGGUCCGCACCUGAAUCAAAUGACGCACCUGAAGAAUGAACACGAAUUUAAGAAUCAAGUAGACUAGCAGACGGAGGACAUUCUAAUCGCUGUCAGAAUGCUGCUGACUUUCAAAUACACCUCUGCCACCUGCUAGCUACAUCAAGAGAAAUUACGUCAAAAUUCAGCUUGGGGAGAGCACCCCCAUUUAUCUCGCUAAGUAUUUCUACCUAUCUUUAUACUUAUAUUAUAUUAGAAUAUUAAAAUACAUAAACUAUGAAAAACCAAAUAAAGAUUUUGUGCUUAUAUAUAUAUCUUUUGCUUAGUAUGUUUAAUAAAUAAAUAAAGUGGCUAUGCUAAUCUGAAUCUUAAUAAUAAAACUCUAGCAUGGAUAUGAUGAAUAGUUGCUCUGCCUAAUUUGCAAAUUUGAAGUUCUCUCUCAAGUUUAGACAUAACUGUUAUAAUUUAAAGCUUGCUCUAGAUCUAAACUUGUGGGAUGAAAACUUGAUGUGAAAUCUAAGUUGUUAACGGAUAUGAUAUGGGAAGGUUGAGCUGCUGUUUAUCUGUUCCUAGAGAUGCUAGAAUUCUGGAGAAUUUUAUCUUUGAAAAAUCUUUAAAAUAUUGCAUGAUGAGUUCCUGUAUGAUGAAAGUUUAAAUUCGUACCACAGCCAUAUAUACAUGCUUGCUAGACUUUGAGCCACACAUUUACUUUUUACUACUUAUGAGCAUUGAGUGUGGUCAAGCUGUGUAGACCCUUAGGAGCUUGUCAUGUGGCUAAAUCAAUAUUUCACUUGCACAUUCACUCAUAUAUGCUACUUCUACUCCAAAAGUACCAUCCACAUAUAUCCAUCCAUGUCCAUCUCGAGAACCACCCAAAAAUAUUCUACUCCUAAUCCGGGAGAGAAUAGCCAAAAAUAUUUCUGUUUUCCCUUGUGAAAUAAAUGCUCAAGUUAUCUUGCUACUACCACUUGCUAUAUUAUCUCAAGAGAUGAGUGCUCUGAAAAAAAGAAAAAAAGAGAAAAAAAAUAAAAAAAAAUGAGGAAAUAAAAAGGGGCAAGUGCCCGAAACCUCGAAAGGAAAGGAAAAGUGAGACGAGAGGUAAAAAUGGACAAGUGUCCGACAGUAGAAUUAGGGGUACAAGAUACCCACCUGAGAGGAAAGAAAAAGAAGAGCAUCUCAUUCUCCUCAUAAAGUUUCAAAAAGCAAGGAAGGUAUGUAUCCCCUCAAAAGAGUAAAAGUAGAAUUAGACUUUCACCAUUGUUAUCACCAUCAUCACCAUACACCAUUCAUUCGCCACACAUGCACAUCUUGAUUUGGUUUAUUGAUUUGUUUCUUUGGAUCCAUGGUUUGACUAUACAAUAAAUGUCUUGUAAGUAUGUAUACUUUAUCUCCCACCUAUGAGCUCCAGAUAUUAAAGCCUUAUUAGAGUAGGGUGAGAGAGAAGGCAAUGUCACUAUGCCUUAUACCACAAAUACCACAAAUCUUGAGAGAAGGCAUAUACCAUCACUGCCUUGGUAAGGAUCCAGAAAUACCACAAAAGAGAGAUUUAGAGAGUCAUACAAGGAAUCUCUGAGUUUUAUUUGAAAAUCUGCAAAAACUCCAGAGCUAUAGCUGAUCAAGAAUAAGAGACAUGGCACUUGGCUAGACUGUUCUAUCUUUUAACUACUCAAGACAGAAGUGACGGUUACAAGUCCCAUGGUGAAAGGUAAAGUAAGUAAGUUUUAGUUCUUGACAGUUUACUCGAACUCAGUGAUGAGAUCUUAUUUAAAAGCAUGUGUACCGUCAAAUUUUUAAGAUAUUGCAACAACUUCUGAUCCAUUGCUGAGUCUAUCCUUGCUCAGGGACGAGCAAGAGGUAAGCUUGGGGGAGUUUGUUGACGGUCCUUAAGUAUCAUUGCUGAUCCGACGGCCCAGGUUCACUUGAGGGGACUAUAUAACCAGACCCCCUGGCCCCUGGAGGAGGCACCCCUUGAUCAUUAUUCAUUAUUCAUAGACAGAGCAAAAGCUAGGGUUUAGAGAUGAGAGCUCUCCUCUCUUCUCUAAACUAGAGUAGAUCUAGAUAGUAGCAAGAUGGAGAGCGAAGGAGGAUUAGAGGAGAGGCCGGCCUGUCGGUUCUUCCUCCGGUUGUACUUCGUCAUGAUCAAGCUCUAAUCAAGCUUGCUCAUGGGAUGACUCUGGUAAUCUACUUCUAAUUCAUUAUGCAAUUACUAAUUAUGUAUGUUCUGGUUCACA
rnacentral:lncRNA from 1 species